rnacentral:rRNA from 1 species
ACGGGUGAGUAAUGUCUGGGAAACUGCCCGAUGGAGGGGGAUAACUACUGGAAACGGUAGCUAAUACCGCAUAACGUCGCAAGACCAAAGAGGGGGACCUUCGGGCCUCUUGCCAUCGGAUGUGCCCAGAUGGGAUUAGCUUGUUGGUGAGGUAAUGGCUCACCAAGGCGACGAUCCCUAGCUGGUCUGAGAGGAUGACCAGCCACACUGGAACUGAGACACGGUCCAGACUCCUACGGGAGGCAGCAGUGGGGAAUAUUGCACAAUGGGCGCAAGCCUGAUGCAGCCAUGCCGCGUGUGUGAAGAAGGCCUUCGGGUUGUAAAGCACUUUCAGCGGGGAGGAAGGCGAUACGGUUAAUAACCGUGUCGAUUGACGUUACCCGCAGAAGAAGCACCGGCUAACUCCGUGCCAGCAGCCGCGGUAAUACGGAGGGUGCAAGCGUUAAUCGGAAUUACUGGGCGUAAAGCGCACGCAGGCGGUCUGUCAAGUCGGAUGUGAAAUCCCCGGGCUCAACCUGGAAACUGCAUUCGAAACUGGCAGGCUUGAGUCUUGUAGAGGGGGGUAGAAUUCCAGGUGUAGC